rnacentral:rRNA from 1 species
GACGGGGCCCGCACAAGCGGUGGAGCAUGUGGUUAAUUCGAAGCAACGCGAAGAACCUUACCAGGCCUUGACAUGCAGAGAACUUUCCAGAGAUGGAUUGGUGCCUUCGGGAACUCUGACACAGGUGCUGCAUGGCUGUCGUCAGCUCGUGUCGUGAGAUGUUGGGUUAAGUCCCGUAACGAGCGCAACCCUUGUCCUUAGUUACCAGCACGUUAUGGUGGGCACUCUAAGGAGACUGCCGGUGACAAACCGGAGGAAGGUGGGGAUGACGUCAAGGUCAUCAUGGCCCUUACGGCCUGGGCUACACACGUGCUACAAUGGUCGGUACAAAGGGUUGCCAAGCCGCGAGGUGGAGCUAAUCCCAUAAAACCGAUCGUAGUCCGGAUCGCAGUCUGCAACUCGACUGCGUGAAGUCGGAAUCGCUAGUAAUCGUGAAUCAGAAUGUCACGGUGAAUACGUUCCCGGGCCUU